ACUUACUCUGUCCCAGCGGUCAUACCUGGACUGGACACCAUUUAUUUCAAAAUGGAUGCCAAAGAUGCAAGGCGGAUAUGGAACCUGGUUCAUGAUCCGAAGCAACCGUGUUUCACGAACGAAGAAGCAGUUAGGAUUUUGAAAUCGAUGGAAACUCAUUUUUAUCACCAUUUUAAAGUACAUUUGAAUCAAAUGCAGUUGACGACAGUUGGGACCUCGGUAGCAUACAUUGGCCAGGAAGGCCGGAUCAAGAUACUUCAGGAACCUUAUGUGUGCUACAUUUUACAACAGUUAUCCCAACUGGCAAAUUUUUAAUAGUUUAGUACUAAUUAGAUGUUAUUAACAAAGUAAUCAAUAAAGUUAUAAAUAUAUUAAAAUGGCUGAUAG
rnacentral:lncRNA from 1 species